AGCAGUAAGGAAUAUUGGACAAUGGGCGGAAGCCUGAUCCAGCCAUGCCGCGUGAAGGAUGAAGGCGCUCUGCGUUGUAAACUUCUUUUGGACGGGAACAAUAACUUCGAUGCGUCGGAGCUUGAGGGUACCGUCAGAAUAAGCACCGGCUAACUCCGUGCCAGCAGCCGCGGUAAUACGGAGGGUGCAAGCGUUAUCCGGAAUCACUGGGUUUAAAGGGUGCGUAGGCGGUCUGAUAAGUCAGUCGUGAAAUCGCUGGGCUUAACCUUUGCAACUGCGAUUGAUACUGUUAGACUUGAAUGAGAUUGAGGCAGGCGGAAUGUGGCAUGUAGCGGUGAAAUGCUUAGAUAUGCCAUAGAACACCAAUUGCGAAGGCAGCCUGCUGGGCCUUUAUUGACGCUGAGGCACGAAAGCGUGGGGAGCAAA
rnacentral:rRNA from 1 species